rnacentral:misc_RNA from 1 species
UUGUUUAAUUUAACUUGUUCUCAGACUUCAAUUUUCUAGGCAGGGUUGGCUAAUUCCGGCAGGCGGGGGGCCCCCGCGAACGGGGGCGGUCCCCGCCAGGCGCCGAAUCCGGGCCGCGGUUACUGAGGGUGGGGAUUGUGCCCGGAGGCGUUAACCCAUUAAUGAUCCUUCCGCAGGUUCACCUACGGAAA